GACAGAGGAGGCAAGCGUUGUUCGGAGUCACUGGGCUUAAAGGGGACGCAGGCGGCUGAGCAAGUGUCUUGUGAAAUCCCACGGCUUAACCGUGGAACUGCAGGGCAAACUGCUUGGCUUGAGGUCGGUAGAGGCGCCUGGAACUCUAGGUGGAGCGGUGAAAUGCUUAGAUAUCUAGAGGAACGCCGGAGGCGAAAGCGGGGCGCUGGGCCGAUUCUGACGCUGAGGUCCGAAAGCGUGGGGAGCAAACAGG
rnacentral:rRNA from 1 species